AGUGAACGCUGGCGGUAGGCCUAACACAUGCAAGUCGAACGGCAGCACAGUAAGAGCUUGCUCUUACGGGUGGCGAGUGGCGGACGGGUGAGGAAUACAUCGGAAUCUACUUUUUCGUGGGGGAUAACGUAGGGAAACUUACGCUAAUACCGCAUGCGACCUACGGGUGAAAGCAGUGGAUCUUCGGACCUUGCGCGAUUGAAUGAGCCGAUGUCGGAUUAGCUAGUUGGCGGGGUAAAGGCCCACCAAGGCGACGAUCCGUAGCUGGUCUGAGAGGAUGAUCAGCCACACUGGAACUGAGACACGGUCCAGACUCCUACGGGAGGCAGCAGUGGGGAAUAUUGGACAAUGGGCGCAAGCCUGAUCCAGCCAUACCGCGUGGGUGAAGAAGGCCUUCGGGUUGUAAAGCCCUUUUGUUGGGAAAGAAAAGCAGCAGGUUAAUACCCCGCUGUUCUGACGGUACCCAAAGAAUAAGCACCGGCUAACUUCGUG
rnacentral:rRNA from 1 species